UAACACAUGCAAGUCGAGGGGCAGCACAGGUAGCUAUACCGGGUGGCGACCGGCGCACGGGUGAGUAACGCGUAUGCAACUUACCUAUCAGAGGGGGAUAACCCGGCGAAAGUCGGACUAAUACCGCAUGAAGCAGGGGCCCCGCAUGGGGAUAUUUGCUAAAGAUUCAUCGCUGAUAGAUAGGCAUGCGUUCCAUUAGGCAGUUGGCGGGGUAACGGCCCACCAAACCGACGAUGGAUAGGGGUUCUGAGAGGAAGGUCCCCCACAUUGGUACUGAGACACGGACCAAACUCCUACGGGAGGCAGCAGUGAGGAAUAUUGGUCAAUGGCCGAGAGGCUGAACCAGCCAAGUCGCGUGAGGGAUGAAGGUUCUAUGGAUCGUAAACCUCUUUUAUAAGGGAAUAAAGUGCGGGACGUGUCCCGUUUUGUAUGUACCUUAUGAAUAAGGAUCGGCUAACUCCGUGCCAGCAGCCGCGGUAAUACGGAGGAUCCGAGCGUUAUCCGGAUUUAUUGGGUUUAAAGGGUGCGUAGGCGGCCUUUUAAGUCAGCGGUGAAAGUCUGUGGCUCAACCAUAGAAUUGCCGUUGAAACUGGGGGGCUUGAGUAUGUUUGAGGCAGGCGGAAUGCGUGGUGUAGCGGUGAAAUGCAUAGAUAUCACGCAGAACCCCGAUUGCGAAGGCAGCCUGCCAAGCCAUUACUGACGCUGAUGCACGAAAGCGUGGGGAUCAAACAGGAUUAGAUACCCUGGUAGUCCACGCAGUAAACGAUGAUCACUAGCUGUUUGCGAUACACUGUAAGCGGCACAGCGAAAGCGUUAAGUGAUCCACCUGGGGAGUACGCCGGCAACGGUGAAACUCAAAGGAAUUGACGGGGGCCCGCACAAGCGGAGGAACAUGUGGUUUAAUUCGAUGAUACGCGAGGAACCUUACCCGGGUUUGAACGCAUUCGGACCGAGGUGGAAACACCUUUUCUAGCAAUAGCCGUUUGCGAGGUGCUGCAUGGUUGUCGUCAGCUCGUGCCGUGAGGUGUCGGCUUAAGUGCCAUAACGAGCGCAACCCUUGCCACUAGUUACUAACAGGUAAAGCUGAGGACUCUGGUGGGACUGCCAGCGUAAGCUGCGAGGAAGGCGGGGAUGACGUCAAAUCAGCACGCCCCUUACAUCCGGGGCGACACACGUGUUACAAUGGCGUGGACAAAGGGAAGCCACCUGGCGACAGGGAGCGAAUCCCCAAACCACGUCUCAGUUCGGAUCGGAGUCUGCAACCCGACUCCGUGAAGCUGGAUUCGCUAGUAAUCGCGCAUCAGCCAUGGCGCGGUGAAUACGUUCCCGGGCCUUGUACACACCGCCCGUCAAGCCAUGGGAGCCGGGGGUACCUGAAGUCCGUAACCGCGAGGAUCGGCCUAGGGUAAAACUGGUGACUGGGGCUAAGUCAUAACA
rnacentral:rRNA from 1 species